GUCGAACGAAGCACUUUAUUUGAUUUCCUUCGGGACUGAUUAUUUUGUCACUGAGUGGCGGACGGGUGAGUAACGCGUGGGUAACCUGCCUUGUACAGGGGGAUAACAGUUGGAAACGGCUGCUAAUACCGCAUAAGCGCACAGCAUCGCAUGAUGCAGUGUGAAAAACUCCGGUGGUAUAAGAUGGACCCGCGUUGGAUUAGCUAGUUGGUGAGGUAACGGCCCACCAAGGCGACGAUCCAUAGCCGACCUGAGAGGGUGACCGGCCACAUUGGGACUGAGACACGGCCCAAACUCCUACGGGAGGCAGCAGUGGGGAAUAUUGCACAAUGGGCGAAAGCCUGAUGCAGCGACGCCGCGUGAGCGAAGAAGUAUUUCGGUAUGUAAAGCUCUAUCAGCAGGGAAGAUAAUGACGGUACCUGACUAAGAAGCACCGGCUAAAUACGUGCCAGCAGCCGCGGUAAUACGUAUGGUGCAAGCGUUAUCCGGAUUUACUGGGUGUAAAGGGAGCGCAGGCGGUGCGGCAAGUCUGAUGUGAAAGCCCGGGGCUCAACCCCGGUACUGCAUUGGAAACUGUCGUACUAGAGUGUCGGAGGGGUAAGCGGAAUUCCUAGUGUAGCGGUGAAAUGCGUAGAUAUUAGGAGGAACACCAGUGGCGAAGGCGGCUUACUGGACGAUAACUGACGCUGAGGCUCGAAAGCGUGGGGAGCAAACAGGAUUAGAUACCCUGGUAGUCCA
rnacentral:rRNA from 1 species